UAUAUAGAAAGCAUGCUUGCCCUCUAGAAGAACCUGGUUGGUGCCUCUCCUGUUGUCUCUAGUGAUCCAAUAGCCUCCUUUGUCUUGUUUGCUGACUUACUGUCAUGAUGGAAAGGCCAAGCCAGAGGCAUUAUGGUGGUAGAGUGACCACACCCUCACUGAGCUGAAUACUAUGGUAUGGUGGAUACUAGAGAAGAGGAUAGCUAGAGUUAUAGUAAUCCAAAAUCAUCUAAACAUACUUCAGGACUUAGGUUUUAAUAUUGUGUGUAUGAAUAUGUAUAUUUGUGUAUAUAUUUAUGUGUGUGUGUGUUGUGUGUGAGUGUGUUUGUAUAUCCUCAUGUGUGUAUAGGUGCUCAAGGAGGCCAAAAGAAAGCAUCAAUCUCCUGGAGAAAGUUAAGAACUUCUCAAUGUGGGGGCCAGGAAACAAACUCAAGUUCUCUAAAAACUCAGUUCAUACUCUUAAACCAUGACCUGUUUCCAGCCUAGGAGUUGUUUCUUAUUAGCUUCUACAUGCCCCUGAGUUGCCAGGAAAAUUACAUAUUCUACCCAUGAAGUUAUCUACAUACAGCUAACAAGGAUAUCCAAAUAAAGCUAUAUUACAUGCCAAGUGGCCAAGAAAAAAAUUCCAAAAUUAGAUAAAAUUACUUCACAAAGUUUUAAUCUCUACCACCACUAAGUGAAACAAUCUAUUAUAGCA
rnacentral:lncRNA from 1 species